rnacentral:rRNA from 1 species
AAUGGCUCAUUAAAUCAGUUAUCGUUUAUUUGAUAAUACCUUACUACUUGGAUAACCGUGGUAAUUCUAGAGCUAAUACAUGCUAAAAACCCCAACUUCGGGAGGGGUGUAUUUAUUAGAUAAAAAACCAAUGCCCUUCGGGGCUCCUUGGUGAUUCAUAAUAACUUCUCAGAUCGCACGUGCCUUGCGCCGGCGACGGUUCAUUCAAAUUUCUGCCCUAUCAACUUUCGAUGGUAAGGUAUUGGCUUACCAUGGUUUCAACGGGUAACGGGGAAUUAGGGUUCGAUUCCGGAGAGGGAGCCUGAGAAACGGCUACCACAUCCAAGGAAGGCAGCAGGCGCGCAAAUUACCCAAUUCCGACUUGGAGAGGUAGUGACAAUAAAUACUGAUACAGGGCUCUUUUGGGUCUUGUAAUUGGAAUGAGUACAAUUUAAACCUCUUAACGAGGAACAAUUGGAGGGCAAGUCUGGUGCCAGCAGCCGCGGUAAUUCCAGCUCCAAUAGCGUAUAUUAAAGUUGUUGCAGUUAAAAAGCUCGUAGUUGAACCUUUGGCCUGGCUGGCAGGUCCGCCUCACCGCGUGCACUUGUCCGGCCGGGCCUUUUCUUCUGGAGAACCGCAUGCCCUUCACUGGGUGUGUUGGGGACCAGGACUUUUACUUUGAAAAAAUUAGAGUGUUCAAAGCAGGCCUUUGCUCGAAUACGUUAGCAUGGAAUAAUAGAAUAGGACGUGCGGUCCUAUUUUGUUGGUUUCUAGGACCGCCGUAAUGAUUAAUAGGGACAGUCGGGGGCAUCAGUAUUCAAUUGUCAGAGGUGAAAUUCUUGGAUUUAUUGAAGACUAACUACUGCGAAAGCAUUUGCCAAGGAUGUUUUCAUUAAUCAGUGAACGAAAGUUAGGGGAUCGAAGACGAUCAGAUACCGUCGUAGUCUUAACCAUAAACUAUGCCGACUAGGGAUCGGGCGGUGUUUCUAUUGUGA